rfam:Oryza glaberrima chromosome 11 Oglab11_0286_2, whole genome shotgun sequence.
UUUAAGUACAGUUGUGGGUUUUUUUGUCCAACGUUUGACCGUCUGUAUUAUUUAAAUUUUUUUAUGAUUAGUAUUUUUAUUAUUUUAGAUGAUAAAACAUGAAUACUUAUUUUCUUAAGUUUUUCAUAAAAUUUUCAAAUAAAACGGAUGGUCAAACGUUGAACACUUCAACGUAAACUCACA